ACCAUAGAUGGAAGGUGUAUCUAGUGUCUGUGUCCAACAUCAACAAUGGUUACAUUCAAUAACUUCAAUUUUUGUUAAAUAUCAUCAGUAUCUACGUGUCUCUGUGUGUUGAUAUUUCAUUGAUGAUAAAGAAUCCUAAUUUUUUAAACUAUUAUCAGUAUCUAUCUUUAUGUAUUGUGUCAGGUAUCAGUGUCUUUGUUGGUGUUUCAUAGAUAUUAAACAUAAAUGAGUUACCUGGGUAGAUCUCAAAACUUCUCCAAAGGCUCCAUUAACUAGUUUUUGCCUAUUCUCCUCAGGAAUUUCUUCAAACUCGGCAAUGACUUGAUGGUGUUGCAGGAUUCCCUUUCCCUUUGCUUCAAUCCUUUUAACACCAUAUAAGAUUUUGAAUGUUAUUUUAAAUCCUUACAACAAAAUUAGUAAUCAAGAACAAAAAAAUUAUUAAAAAAAAAAAUAUAUAUAUAUAUAUAUAUAUAUAUAUAUAUAUAAUUUAAGCAAAAUACCUUGAGAGAAGGGCCAAAAUUUCAUUCCUGUGACCAGUGAGAAUUUCAUCAGGUGUUGCAGGAUUCCCUUUCCCUUUGCUUCAAUCCUUUUAACACCAUAUAAGAUUUUGAAUGUUAUUUUAAAUCCUUACAACAAAAUUAGUAAUCAAGAACAAAAAAAUUAUUAAAAAAAAAAAUAUAUAUAUAUAUAUAUAUAUAUAUAUAUAUAUAUAUAAUUU
rnacentral:lncRNA from 1 species